rnacentral:rRNA from 1 species
AGUAAUCGCGGAUCAGCAUGCCGCGGUGAAUACGUUCCCGGGCCUUGUACACACCGCCCGUCACACCAUGAGAGUCGAUAACACCCGAAGCCUGUAGUCUAACCAUAUGGGGGACGCAGUCGAAGGUGGGAUUGAUAAUUAGGGUGAAGUCGUAACAAGGUACC